GCAAGUCGAGCGCUCUCUUCGGAGGGAGCGGCGGACGGGUGAGUAACGCGUGGGAACAUACCCUUUUCUACGGAAUAGCCUCGGGAAACUGAGAGUAAUACCGUAUAAGCCCUUCGGGGGAAAGAUUUAUCGGGAAAGGAUUGGCCCGCGUUAGAUUAGAUAGUUGGUGGGGUAAUGGCCUACCAAGCCUACGAUCUAUAGCUGGUUUGAGAGGAUGAUC
rnacentral:rRNA from 1 species